CUGGAGUUUGGCAGAGGGGGGUGGAAUUCCACGUGUAGCAGUGAAAUGCGUAGAGAUGUGGAGGAACACCAAUGGCGAAGGCAGCCCCCUGGGUCGAUACUGACGCUCAUGCACGAAAGCGUGGGUAGCAAACAGGAUUAGAUACCCUGGUAGUCCACGCCCUAAACGAUGUCAACUAGGUGUUGGGAGGGUAAAACCUUUUAGUGCCGUAGCUAAC
rnacentral:rRNA from 1 species